rnacentral:rRNA from 1 species
GUGGUAAUGCCGGAUGCUCCGACAUGACGCAUGUCGUGUCGGGAAAGAUUCUAUCGGUAUGGGAUGGGGUCGCGUCCUAUCAGCUUGAUGGCGGGGUAACGGCCCACCAUGGCUUCGACGGGUAGCCGGCCUGAGAGGGCGACCGGCCACAUUGGGACUGAGAUACGGCCCAGACUCCUACGGGAGGCAGCAGUGGGGAAUAUUGCACAAUGGGCGCAAGCCUGAUGCAGCGACGCCGCGUGCGGGAUGACGGCCUUCGGGUUGUAAACCGCUUUUGACUGGGAGCAAGCCCUUCGGGGUGAGUGUACCUUUCGAAUAAGCACCGGCUAACUACGUGCCAGCAGCCGCGGUAAUACGUAGGGUGCAAGCGUUAUCCGGAAUUAUUGGGCGUAAAGGGCUCGUAGGCGGUUCGUCGCGUCCGGUGUGAAAGUCCAUCGCUUAACGGUGGAUCCGCGCCGGGUACGGGCGGGCUUGAGUGCGGUAGGGGAGACUGGAAUUCCCGGUGUAACGGUGGAAUGUGUAGAUAUCGGAA